CGAGAGGACCGGAGUGGACGCAUCACUGGUGUUCGGGUUGUCAUGCCAAUGGCACUGCCCGGUAGCUAAAUGCGGAAGAGAUAAGUGCUGAAAGCAUCUAAGCACGAAACUUGCCCCGAGAUGAGUUCUCCCUGACUCCUUGAGAGUCCUGAAGGAACGUUGAAGACGACGACGUUGAUAGGCCGGGUGUGUAAGCGCAGCGAUGCGUUGAGCUAACCGGUACUAAUGAACC
rnacentral:rRNA from 1 species